UACGUAGGGUGCAAGCGUUAAUCGGAAUUACUGGGCGUAAAGCGUGCGCAGGCGGUUCGUUAUGUCCGAUGUGAAAGCCCCGAGCUUAACUUGGGAAUGGCAUUGGAAACUGGCGGGCUGGAGUGCGGCAGAGGGGGGUGGAAUUCCACGUGUAGCAGUGAAAUGCGUAGAGAUGUGGAGGAACACCGAUGGCGAAGGCAGCCCCCUGGGCCGACACUGACGCUCAGGCACGAAAGCGUGGGGAGCAGACAGG
rnacentral:rRNA from 1 species